CUAUUAAUCGAUGAUUUUAUAUAUUAUUUUAAGUUGUGUAAAUUGUAUAUCAAAAAUAUGUAGAUAGAUAUUUUUAACAAAUUAUGAUUUAAUAUUUAUUUAUAAAAAAACAAAUAGUAUGAAAAAUACUACUACUUUUAAUGUUUUUAUAGACUAAUUUAAUUUGUGUAAUUAUAUAUAAAAAAAUACGUUGUUUUAUGUAUAACGCAUAACAAAUCAUAUAAAAAGUAUUACAACUUUUAAUAACAUAAAAACAUUAUAACAUAUACUAUACAUUUGUAUCAAUUUGUUUAUUAGAUGCCUAUAAAUCAUGCAAAAAAAAUAUUGAAAUCAACGUACAUUUUAUAUAUAGAAACACUAUUAUCCUAAGAAAAAUUUAUAUUGUAAUAAUCUCUGAUGCCAUAAAACUUAUUUUUCAACUCGUUAUAUUUAAAUCAAAAAUCUCUUUAAACACAUGAAAUUUUUUUAUGAGCAAAACAUAGUCAUAUACUAUAGCUACAAUGUGAAUAAGUGAGGAAAAUAAAAAGUCAUUAUCAGUUAAUAACAAUAAGUUAAAAAAAACUCUUGAGUUGUAGUAAUUAACUAGUAAAAACCCCAUACUACGUUGCAGGUUUGAAAUAGUUUAUUGUGACAUGAAACUGUAACAUGCAAGUUUUAUGAUCAAUGAUUUGUUUUUUUGCUAAUGAUUGGUUGUUUUGCAAAAUCUUGGGGCAAAAAUCCAAAAAAGAAAAUUUUAUUAUUUUAGGGACUAAAAUUGUCAAAAUAGAAAAAGAAAUGUGAGCAAAAAUUAAGGUAAAAAACGGAAAAGGCAGAUGAGUCAGCAACAUGGUCGAAAGUUGAGAAAUAUUGGGGUAAAAAGGCAAAAAAGAAAAUUUUAUUAUUUUAGAGACUGAAGUUGUCAAAAUAGGAAAAUAAAUGUGGCAACCAUACAGAUAACAACAUUGAUAUAUGAGCCUUCAGCCUGGACCGCCNCCUAUAAUUUUAAAUUAUUACUUAUGUCUACUAUUAAUCGAUGAUUUUAUAUAUUAUUUUAAGUUGUGUAAAUUGUAUAUCAAAAAUAUGUAGAUAGAUAUUUUUAACAAAUUAUGAUUUAAUAUUUAUUUAUAAAAAAACAAAUAGUAUGAAAAAUACUACUACUUUUAAUGUUUUUAUAGACUAAUUUAAUUUGUGUAAUUAUAUAUAAAAAAAUACGUUGUUUUAUGUAUAACGCAUAACAAAUCAUAUAAAAAGUAUUACAACUUUUAAUAACAUAAAAACAUUAUAACAUAUACUAUACAUUUGUAUCAAUUUGUUUAUUAGAUGCCUAUAAAUCAUGCAAAAAAAAUAUUGAAAUCAACGUACAUUUUAUAUAUAGAAACACUAUUAUCCUAAGAAAAAUUUAUAUUGUAAUAAUCUCUGAUGCCAUAAAACUUAUUUUUCAACUCGUUAUAUUUAAAUCAAAAAUCUCUUUAAACACAUGAAAUUUUUUUAUGAGCAAAACAUAGUCAUAUACUAUAGCUACAAUGUGAAUAAGUGAGGAAAAUAAAAAGUCAUUAUCAGUUAAUAACAAUAAGUUAAAAAAAACUCUUGAGUUGUAGUAAUUAACUAGUAAAAACCCCAUACUACGUUGCAGGUUUGAAAUAGUUUAUUGUGACAUGAAACUGUAACAUGCAAGUUUUAUGAUCAAUGAUUUGUUUUUUUGCUAAUGAUUGGUUGUUUUGCAAAAUCUUGGGGCAAAAAUCCAAAAAAGAAAAUUUUAUUAUUUUAGGGACUAAAAUUUUCAAAAUAGAAAAAGAAAUGUGAGCAAAAAUUAAGGUAAAAAACGGAAAAGGCAGAUGAGUCAGCAACAUAGUCGAAAGUUGAGAAAUAUUGGGGCAAAAAGGCAAAAAAGAAAAUUUUAUUAUUUUAGAGACUGAAGUUGUCAAAAUAGGAAAAUAAAUGUGGCAACCAUACAGAUAACAACAUUGAUAUAUGAGCCUUCAGCCUGGACCGCCUUGUUUGGCCUACAUCCUAUCUGGACUGCUCUUCGAGCCUUCGGUCUGACUGGACCACCUUGCAGGGCCUAUAGCCUACCCAGACCGCUAUUUGGGCCUGCGGCCUAACUGGACCACCUUGUCGGGCCUACAACCUAUCUGGACCGCCUUAUGUAUCUUGGCCUCAACCCAACAAACCAUAACAUGUUGACAUAUACCAUAACAAAUAAUAACCAAUAAGUACAUGUAAUCAUACCGAUAUACCAAUCUAACACAUAACCAGGGAAUACAGGUAAUUAUAUGGAUCUAACAGUCUGUCAUAUACCAGCAUAGCAUCAUCCAAUAUACUAGGAUACAUAAUCCAUUAGGGCGAUAUUGGUGCCUUCGACCCACAAGUAUAGUGAGGAAAACUCACCUAAUAGUCUAAAAUGUAGCUAAACAGAUCACAACUCCAACGGUUGACUCUAAAGAUCACAUAUACAACAAAUAGUAACCUAAUCUCAAUCUACUGCUCAAAAUACCCAAAAUACCCAUAGGUCAAACUUUGUUAAAAUAGUGAUCAAAGUAAGGGUCAAAAAGUCAAAAGUCCCACCUAGGCUGACUAUGUCUUGCAUACUCCUCUCUACGCCCAACGUCGAGGGUGCCUCUCAAAUUAUGGGAGCUAAACCUAGUAUGCACAACGUAUCUCCUGGUACCCCCCAACAUACAAGCACUAAAUCCCUAUUUCAUCAUUAAGUCCUUAUUUUAUUAAGCCAAAGCAAUAAACUUCCUAUCCAGGUUAAAAAGGAUGUCUUAAUGGAUAAAGUCUCCGAAUUUAUCCAUUUGCAUGCAUACAAGAUGAUAUAAACUCAAAACCUUGGUCCAAAAGUCAUCCAAAGCUCAAAAUCACUUGCAUGGCUUAAUAAGAGUGUCCAAGCUCUCAUUUUUAUGAAUCUACGAGCUCAAAACUAUAGAAAACUACAAUUCAAGGACCUGGAGUAGCUCAUACUCCACAAGAACAAAACUAUGAGACCAAAAAUGUACACAAACACUAGACUAGAAAGAUCUAAGCAAACAACUCAUCAAGUUCCAAGCUUUAUACCUUCAAAUGAUGCUUGAGGUGAGAUACUUCUGGAUCUAGGUUGCCUUGAGCUUCCAAGAUGAUUUCACUAUCUUCUCCUUCCUUUAAGAACACAAAAAUACACACUCUCAAGCUAAAAAAUGCUCAUACAAUGGAUUAGGGUUUAUAAGGGUUGAUUUGGGAGAUGUAGGCUAGUAAGGGAAAAGGUCUUAAGGAUAUAAUGAUGUUUAAAUAUGAUUCAAACCCUAAAAAUUAAAGUUUGGACCCCAGCCACGUAUGUCCGAUAUACGCUUGAUUACGCUCAAUGUCUUAACACAACACGUGUUUUUCACUAAGUGAGCUAUAGGACCAAUUUUGCAACAAAUUUAAUACUAGGGGGUGAAAAUGGAAAAUACCUGGCAUUUGGGUGUUACAUUAUAGUGGAAACAGUAUUGUAAAAAUUGGUCUAGGCGACCGUGUAGGCUUUAGGCAACAUCUUAUUGCCUAUGAUUAAUUCUAGUAUGUCAAACUAGUCAGAAUCGGUCCUUAGUGGUCUAACACGAUCAAAAAGUCAAACAAUCAAAAUUUUCAAAAAAGUCCCCGAUUAGUCAAAUUUAUGAAAAUCGGUGAAAUAAUUAUAAUGAAUGAUGACUAAAAUUGUGAAAAAGAUCAUACAUUAGUCUAAAAUGUAUGAUAUAUAACGAUUUAAAUAGUCAGACUAAUGAAUAUAUCAAAACUUUAUGGUUAUUUACUUAUUUUGUUAGGAUACGGGUAAUAUUUAUUUAUUUUUAAAUAAAUUCUAUUAUAAUUAAGGGUCUCCGACUAGGCGCCGUUUAAUCCUCGCAUAGACCGAUUAGUCCCUUA
rnacentral:lncRNA from 1 species